rnacentral:rRNA from 1 species
GACAGAGGGUGCAAACGUUGCUCGGAAUCACUGGGCGUAAAGGACGUGUAGGCGGGAAGGAAAGUCAGAUGUGAAAUCCCUGGGCUCAACCCAGGAACUGCAUUUGAAACUCCCUUUCUUGAGUGUCGGAGAGGAAAGUGGAAUUCCUGGUGUAGAGGUGAAAUUCGUAGAUAUCAGGAGGAACACCGGUGGCGAAGGCGGCUUUCUGGACGACAACUGACGCUGAGACGCGAAAGCGUGGGGAGCAAACAGG